GGGGCCGCCGGGAGUUGUAGUCCCAGGCCGCAGCCGGGUUAUGGCAACGGCAGGCAAGCCCGGUCCGGGCGGUGUCCCCGCGGUGCCGGUCGCCAGCGGCCACAGCAUCCCGGUGCUGGGGCUCGGUACUUCCCACCGGGGUGGCUAUUCCCAUGCCGCAGUGGUCCAUGCCCUGCAGAAAUGUGGCAUUCGUCACAUUGACACAGCAAAGAGAUAUGGCUGUGAGCCCCUCCUCCAAAGGGCCAUCAGAGAGAGUGGUGUGAAGAGAGAGGACCUCUGGAUAACUACCAAGCUGUGGCACAGUGAUUAUGGCUAUGAAAACACAAAAAAGGCCUGCUUGGAGUCAUGUGAAAGACUCGGUGUUGAAUAUCUUGAUCUUUAUUUGAUUCACUGGCCUGAUGCACAAGUUCCAGGUAAAAGCAAUCGAGAGGUCCGAGCUGAAACCUGGAGUGCGAUGGAAGAGCUCUAUGAGAAAGGUUUGUGUAAAUCAAUUGGCGUAAGCAAUUUUCUUAUCAGCCAUCUUGAGCAACUAAAGGAGGACUGUGUGAUUACUCCACAUGUUAAUCAGGUUGAAUACCACCCUUUCCAAAGACCUCAGGAGCUGGUUGAUUACUGUAGGAGCAGAGAUAUUGUUUUUGAAGGCUACUGUCCUUUAGCCAAAGGUGAAGCACUCACCCAUCCUACUGUCAUUCAGCUGGCAAAGAAGUAUGGCAGAACUCCAGCACAGAUUUGCAUACGCUGGAGCAUACAGAAUGGGAUUGUCACUAUUCCAAAGUCAACAAAGGCAGAACGGAUAGAGGAAAACUGCAAGGUGUUUGAUUUUACAAUAGCAGAAGAUGAUGUUGAAAUUCUGAAUGGAAUGCAUGAUGGGAGACAUGUUUCCUGGGAUCCAAGCUUUAUUGUGUGAAAUCAAGGGUUUUGAUUCUAAUCUGAAGAAAGAAGAUAUGGAAUUUUUGAACACUGUGAAUAUCAACAGAAAAUUAAUUCAUCUAACCUAUUCCCCGUGGAAAAAAUAAUUUAAAACCAGUCUGUUCUAAACUGGAAAAAUUAUGCAACUGAAACACUGGUUAAUUUAAAACUGAACAAUAAAUCUGAAUUGUUCUCUUAGAUUUUGAAAAGUAUCAAUUACUGGAAGGCACGUAAGAUCAUGCUACAAUGCAUAUAGAUCUCGACAAAUUAUUCAACAAAUGGAAUAUUUGUUCAGGGAUUGCAGCAGAAUAAUGAAUCCAACUUUUUUAUUUCUUCUUGUCAUGAGAAUUUUGGGGGAUUCUGCAGGCCAUUCUUGGUGUUUUCUUGAUGACCAAACCUGCACUCUGGUACUGUUUCACAGAUCUCCUGUCAUGACCCAGCACUUCAGAGUGGAAUGGCUCCCUUUGUGACCCAAGUUGCAUCAGGAUGAAUAAAAAUAGUUUUGGCUUAUAUGGACAAAGACUUUUGAAAAGUGCAGAAGAAUGACAUGUUGGAGAAAAAUGCUUUGCUAAUCUCUCUUGCAGGAAUUGUCACUAUCUUUUUAAGAUGGAUAGUGUUCAGACAUUUCUCUGAUGCAAUUGUGAGUUGUCCAGCUGCACUGGGAGAGUUCCGUCUGGUGGUGUCAGAGGCCACCAGUCUUUUGAUAUGCAGGCAUUGGGUGCACCCCAGCUUACAGCUUUUCUGACAAGAUCAAAGCAUUUUCCUGCAAGGAAAUUGCUCUGUGACUAGCCAGGUUUCUGCAAUCCCUACCACACUAAGCUCUCACUGGAAAUUCCAGAAGAACUUCGGCUGUCACACACAGUCAGUAUUAUUUUGUUGUUGUUCAUGACAUUCCCUAAAAUGUGAGUUUCUGCUCAUCCUGAAAACAACCUAAGAGCAAAUACGUACUCAGGAUCCCUGUGAAAAAUGUGUCUGCCUCUUUAUGCUAGUAGGCAUGGUGCAGAACUUUUUUUUUUAACCAGUUUAGCCAGGAGAGGCAGCUGUUGUGUGUCAGUUUGGUGUCCUGACGUGCACAGCCUUCCUGCUGGCAUUUGACAGAGACCUGCAUUCUGGUUAUUUAUGAAAUGCAUGAAUAACACUGUGUUGUUCUUUCUCCU